rnacentral:rRNA from 1 species
AUACGUAGGGUGCAAGCGUUAAUCGGACUUACUGGGCGUAAAGCGUGCGCAGGCGGUUUUGUAAGACAGUGGUGAAAUCCCCGGGCUCAAUCUGGGAACUGCCAUUGUGACUGCAAGGCCGGAGUGCGGCAGAGGGGGAUGGAAUUCCGCGUGUAGCAGUGAAAUGCGUAGAUAUGCGGAGGAACACCGAUGGCGAAGGCAAUCCCCUGGGCCUGCACUGACGCUCAUGCACGAAAGCGUGGGGAGCAAACAGGAUUAGAUACCCUGGUAGUCCACGCCCUAAACGAUGUCAACUAGUUGUUGGGGAUUUAUUUUCUCAGUAACGAAGCUAACGCGUGAAGUUGACCGCCUGGGGAGUACGGCCGCAAGGUUAAAACUCAAAUGAAUUGACGGGG